CCGCGGUAGACACCGGUGGAUAAUAAUCAAAUUAACAAAAGCCCUCAGAUUUGAGUGGUCCCAGGAAUGCAAUCAAGUCUUCAAUGAUUGUAAACAAUUUUUGUUGAAGCCCAAUGUUUUGGAAUAUUUUGACCCUGACAAGCCCGUUGUAGUGGUCACUGAUGCUUGCUCGUACGGAAUUGGUGGUGUAAUUGCACAUGAGGUGAACGGGGAAGAAAAACCCAUCAGUUUUACUUCUUUUACUCUGAACAACGCAGAGAAAAACUAUCCAAUUUUACACCUCGAAGCUCUAGCGGUGAUCUCUCUUGGCGGCAGAGUACUUUCGGCGCAUAAAUAAGCGUCAACUCAAAAUUCCGCAGAGCUCUCGCCGGAAACGACCCUCAUUUGUUUUCCUUGGAGAGAGUUCCUCAAAACCGCAACCACCACAACCAACCACCAGCAAGAGGCGCAGAGAACACGAGUAUGAAGAUUCCGACGAUGAUUCGGAUUUUUACGGAUUCGCAGCAGAGUCCUCGAUUUUUGAAGAUGACCCGAUGGGUGAAUCUUCGUUGUCGGACGAAGUUGAUCAGCGACAGCCUGUACGAGAAAAGCGGCCGAUCCGCAGAUCAACGAGGCAGAUUAAGAAGAAGCACAAAGCGGAUUUUAAAUAUUUUUAAUUUGUCAAGUGAAUUCGUGCUAGCUUCAUUUAGCUUACUGAAUUAGGAUUUUUUAGAUUAAUGUCCUUUCAAGAAAUAAGAAGAAUUUUAUUCACAUUUAAGUGUGUUCGAUUUUGGUAUGAAGCUUUUUUAAGGGAAAAGGAGUUGUAAUGUCCAACGCGACAUCUAGACUUAAAUAGAUUAACCAAUUCUUUAACACCCCUGCGGUUGACAGAACUGCUCCCUCUCACACUCUCUUGAGUGCUGCUCAUUUCCGCUUACUCAUAUUGUACUGUUAUCUGAAAUAUAUGCACACUCUUAUUUGAACCACGAA